CUGGGAAGUACUCUUGGAUGGAAAACAAACUCAGUGUUUAGAUCUUGAGGCAAGUUGUUUGUUUUUUUAUUUUGUUGUAGGGAUCAAAUCCUGAGCUAGGCAAGUGCUCAACUAUGAGUCACAGCCCAGCCUAUCUGUGUACAUUCAGACCCACUUUCCAUAGGGUGUGUGCGGAUACUGGAGACGACUUGUGGAGGUCCUUCUCUCCAUCCACCUUGCUGAGGCAGGGUCCCUCUUGUUUCUUGCCCCUAGUGCAGGAAGAUCUGAUCCAGGCUAACAGAGCUUCCGAGCAAUGUUCCAACUCUGUCUCCUGUCUUACAGCAGGAGCUGGAACUACAGAUGCAGACCACCACCUCCAUCGUUUUUACAUGAGUUCCUGGUAUCCGGCUGACACAGCAAAUGCUUUUUACCCACUGAGCCAUCACCCUGCCCACCAGCCACCUCUUAAGGUUCUCAGUGUGAUUGCUCAGUGCUGGCCAGGGUGACAGGCCCUGGUGCAAACAGCUGUACAAAUAGUGAGAGACUCUAUGGAGAAUGUGACAGUGCCCGAGCUCUUCCCUUGACCGAAGAUCCAGGUGACACAAGCUUUGUCCCUGUGGAUGCAGAUGAAAGUAUGCAGAAGAGCUGAGUGAAUCUACCACUUAGGAAUCCUAGGCUGUUUCCCUCUCAGCACUUUAAUCAAGAGAUCAAGCCUGGCAUCACCAGCGGGACACGGGAAGGCGGAAGCAGAGAUGUCCUGUGUGGUCGGGAGGCCACUUACCAGGCCACAGAUGGGAGGGAGGCCGGCACCUGGUUCUGUGGCAGAGUCUGUGGCACAAGGCUCCACAGAACAAACACACCAACACUGAUGCCC
rnacentral:lncRNA from 1 species